rnacentral:rRNA from 1 species
UCUCGCCUACGGGGCGCAGCAGUGGGGAAUCUUCCGCAAUGGGCGCAAGCCUGACGGAGCAAUGCCGCGUGAACGAAGAAGGUCCUCGGAUUGUAAAGUUCUGUCCUUAUCGAAGAGAGGGUAUAGAGUGAAAAAUGAUAUACUAGGACGGUAGAUGAGGAGGAAGCCCCGGCUAACCACGUGCCAGCAGCCGCGGUAAUACGUAGGGGGCGAGCGUUGUCCGGAAUCACUGGGCGUAAAGGGCGCGUAGGCGGUAAUGUAAGUCAGAUGGGAAAGGUGGGGGCUCACCCCCUAGAGUGCAACUG